rnacentral:rRNA from 1 species
AGGGGUAGAGUUCUUCGGAACUUGAGACCGGCGCACGGGUGCGUAACGCGUAUGCAAUCUACCUUUUACAGAGGGAUAGCCCAGAGAAAUUUGGAUUAAUACCUCAUAGUAUAGCUGACUCGCAUGAUUCUACUAUUAAAGUCACAACGGUAAAAGAUGAGCAUGCGUCCCAUUAGCUAGUUGGUAAGGUAACGGCUUACCAAGGCUACGAUGGGUAGGGGUCCUGAGAGGGAGAUCCCCCACACUGGUACUGAGACACGGACCAGACUCCUACGGGAGGCAGCAGUGAGGAAUAUUGGACAAUGGGCGCAAGCCUGAUCCAGCCAUGCCGCGUGCAGGAUGACGGUCCUAUGGAUUGUAAACUGCUUUUAUACGAGAAGAAACACUGCUUCGUGAAGCAGCUUGACGGUAUCGUAAGAAUAAGGAUCGGCUAACUCCGUGCCAGCAGCCGCGGUAAUACGGAGGAUCCAAGCGUUAUCCGGAAUCAUUGGGUUUAAAGGGUCCGUAGGCGGUUUAAUAAGUCAGUGGUGAAAGCCCAUCGCUCAACGGUGGAACGGCCAUUGAUACUGUUAAACUUGAAUUAUUAGGAAGUAACUAGAAUAUGUAGUGUAGCGGUGAAAUGCUUAGAGAUUACAUGGAAUA